CGCUGGCGGCAGGCUUAACACAUGCAAGUCGAACGCAUCCUUCGGGGUGAGUGGCAGACGGGUGAGUAACGCGUGGGAACGUGCCCUUCAGUUCGGGAUAACCCAGGGAAACUUGGGCUAAUACCGGAUACGUGCGAGAGCAGAAAGAUUUAUCGCUGAAGGAUCGGCCCGCGUCUGAUUAGCUAGUUGGUGAGGUAAUGGCUCACCAAGGCGACGAUCAGUAGCUGGUCUGAGAGGAUGAUCAGCCACAUUGGGACUGAGACACGGCCCAAACUCCUACGGGAGGCAGCAGUGGGGAAUAUUGGACAAUGGGCGCAAGCCUGAUCCAGCCAUGCCGCGUGAGUGAUGAAGGCCUUAGGGUUGUAAAGCUCUUUCGUCCGGGACGAUAAUGACGGUACCGGAAGAAGAAGCCCCGGCUAACUUC
rnacentral:rRNA from 1 species